rnacentral:rRNA from 1 species
GACGGAGGAUGCAAGCGUUAUCCGGAAUUAUUGGGCGUAAAGCGUCCGUAGGCGGUUUGUUAAGUCUGCUGUGAAAGCCCCGGGCUCAACCUGGGAACGGCAGUGGAUACUGGCAAGCUAGAGUGUGUCAGAGGAUGGUGGAAUUCCCGGUGUAGCGGUGAAAUGCGUAGAGAUCGGGAGGAACAUCAGUGGCGAAGGCGGCCAUCUGGGACAACACUGACGCUGAGGCACGAAAGCGUGGGGAGCAAACAGG